GCUCAGGUCCUGUGCGAGUCGAGCCUGUGAACCCCGUCAGACCCGAAAGGGAGCAGCGGUAAUCGGACCUCGAUUGUGCUGCAGGUCGCCUGAGCCGC
rnacentral:SRP_RNA from 1 species